CACUUUGGCCGCCUCGUGGUCACGGACCAUUGGGUUCAGCGAGAUAGCUCGCCAACCGAUCCAUCAAGCGAUCGCAGGCGGCCAUUUGU
rnacentral:misc_RNA from 1 species